ACGAGAAUGUCGUUUUCGUAAGUGUUGGAAAGAUCGCAACUUCCAGCGUGUUGCGACGUCUCGCGGUGCCGGAAGUUUGAUCCUUUUCUUUUGGUACCGCGUUUUUCUUGCGGGUUUUUUACCAAGGAUGCUUCUAUGAACAUUCGUGGGUUUGUCGGUUUUAGCGUGGUAGCUAAUUGCUUUGAUUCAGGCGUUUUGGGCAAGUCUUGGACCGCCGUUCUAGCCGUUUGUCAGAUAGUGGACUUUAGCGAUCGUAGCGUUGCAUUUUUUUUUUUUGUAAAAAGUUUCGAAAAGAUCAAGUUUUUGGAAGUUAUGGGAGUAUACGAGUAUACGUACCCACUCCCUCCCCCCCCCCCUUUUAAGAUGGGGGGAUAGUUGAACUCGCUGGGCGAGCUGCCUACGUACCCUUUUUCUGGGGAUCAAGCCAUCUCGUAGUUCUUUGGAUCCACGUUACGAUUAGUGGUAGUAUUUCUUAAGAUGCAUCCCGUUCCAGGUUCUUUGGAUCUAGACGUCCUGCAUGUUUGCGAUUUGGUAUGAUCCUGGUUUGACUACCUUUAUCACCCUGUAUGGACCUUCCCAGUUUGCUCCCAGUUUUCAUGCGUUACGUUCGGUAGUGUUUUGGAAGACUUUGCGAAGGACCAGGUCGCCUUCUU
rnacentral:lncRNA from 1 species